GCCAGUAUGGUGUAGUGGUUUGAGUGUCUGUCUGCAACUCUGGAGACAGGGUUUGAAUCCCUGCUUAGCCA